rfam:Medicago truncatula strain A17 chromosome 3, whole genome shotgun sequence.
AUGUAGUGUGACAUGCCCGUUUGGGUUAUUACUCUGAUGUUGAAAUAUUUAUUAUUUAAUUGAUUAUUGGGAACGGGGUGUUACAAUUGG